UACGUAGGGUGCGAGCGUUGCCCGGAUUUAUUGGGCGUAAAGGGCGUGUAGGCGGCUUCGUAAGUCCUAUGUGAAAGCCCUCGGCUUAACCGGGGAACUGCAUAGGAAACUGCGGAGCUUGAGUUCGGGAGAGGAGAGUGGAAUUCCCAGUGUAGCGGUGAAAUGCGUAGAUAUUGGGAGGAACACCGGUGGCGAAGGCGGCUCUCUGGACCGAUACUGACGCUGAAACGCGAAAGCUAGGGGAGCAAACGGG
rnacentral:rRNA from 1 species